GAUGUAACACUUGUGUGAUUCUCCCCUUUGAAACUUCAAACUCCAGUUUGUGAACAAAGUCCUGUCUAUCUUCUGAAUAGGAAUCUCCGACCACUGACCAAACUCCAUUUGCAACCACUGCCUAUUUGUACCUUCUCCUCAAUGACUACAUUUCAUUUACCCAAGUCCGAUCUCAAAGGCAGUAUGGCAGGGAAGCAACACAGUAAAAUCAAAAAACAAGAACCAGCAGCUGGGAGGAAAAGACGAUCAUGGUGGCCUGGAAGAGUCAAUAAGAUGUGGAAUAUACACUGUCUGGGGACUUAUUUUGUUUCUUUCUAAGAGAGUUACACCACAGAGGAAAUGUGAAUGUUUGUAGAGCACAUCCAGGAGCGUGUUGAUGUUGAUAAGAGUAUAACAGAAGGAGACAAUGUGCUUGCUGCAGCAGAUUUGAACCCAGCAGAAAAAGGCUGCUGCUCUGCUCUCCUGCAGUAGAUGGAGGAGAUAGUACUCAUUUCGACCACAAGAGGCUGAAGUGCACCACUUCCCUGAUGUUCUAAACAGGACUGAAAGCAUUCAUGUGUUCUUGCAGCGUCCCAUCUUGGCCAUACAUCCCUCUGAAGGCCGAGCCCUGACAGUGAGCCGGCCAGCUGAGCGAAGGCCCAUGAGCCUCAGCGGCUCUCUCAGGCCCGGCCAGGCUGAGGCAGGCUGGGAGGAGAAGCAGGGCCACUGUUACUGGAUAGUGCUGUUUGCCGGGGCCACCGGGCCGACUGUUAGGGCCCACAGCACCCAGGGAUAAUCCCCUAAUGCCUGUCACAAUGAGAUUUGAUUGGAGACUUGAACACCCGGAUUAAUAGUGUCAAGUGAACAGUGUAUAAUACCUACCCUCCAAACAGGCUAAUUGGGCUUUCUGCCUCUGUGAAACACCAAACACCAGAUAUUUUAUUACAGUGCGGAUUCAAUUUUACUUCAUUAGCUGAGGGAUUUGUUUACCAGGACUCUAUACUGUAACUUUUCUACAACGCAAGCUUAAUACUUUCUAUACGGCUGCAGUUAUUUAUAUUCUUAAUCUUAUUUUUUUUAUAAAUUUCAGAGACCUUGUUAAUACAGUAAGUUGAAACAAAGCAGUGUCCGUCUCAGAGUUUACAUUAAAAAUCAGUUUAUCCAGGUGACAAACAUGAAAAAGACACCUCUAGAUGAAAAAUGUCAAUAUUGCAAAAUUUAAUUUAGAUAUGCCUGCCUAAUAAGGAUUUGAUCUGUUAGCAUCUCAUGAAAGUCACAUAUGGACCAUUAUAAUGGUGUAAUGAUUUAAUCCAACAAUGAUUUUUAUUUGAUGUAUCAUGAAAUCUUACAUUCUGCCCACAAUGGUGGUGGUCAAAGGUGGUGAGAAAUAUGUGUAAAAGCAAUCUGUUUACAUCAGAGAGGCCAAUCUGUAAAUAGAAAUGUUAUAUGAUUAUAUGCUUGCAUGAGUGUUUUGUCAAGCAGCCACUUAAAUUGCUUUUUGAGUGAAAAUGAUGACUAAUGUCAAGUGUCAAGUGUGGUUUCAACAUGGAAAGACGCACUUCUAGUGGGCUAUAAAAGCCGCUAGAGAUGCAAGCUAAAGACGGACUGAAAAUCAUUCAGAAUACGUGGUGUGUGUAGGUUACUUGUGCACCCAAGUCCUGUGUCGUGGGAGAGGGUGUGUAGUGAGGGCCCUUAACGUAUUCGUGCCCAUGGUCAUAAUAAUCCGUCCAUGCUUCCUGAAAGUACAGCAGCUCUACAGAUGUAAAUUGUUAAAAUGACUUAAGUGAUUCAGUCACUAAUAAUUAAACUGUACACUGAGACAAUAUUUCAAAGAAUGACUUUUAUGUUGAAGACCAAACUUGAGCCUCAAACUACUGCAGUUCAGUGUGUCUAAAAUAAAACUUGUUCUUUUCUUUUCCAGGAUUCACUGUUUCCCUCUGCUAAAAAAAAGAGCUCAAAGACAUUUUUAAAAAUUCAUCAAAAAUCAGGAUUUUACAGGUUCUGACUGUAGUCGGUAGGUAGUCUUUCAAUGAAAAGAGACACCUUCAAUGAGUGGUGGAAUAUCUUUAAGUGCAUUUACUCAAUUACUGUACUUAAGUCCAAUCUUGAGGUACUUGUACCUUACUUGUGUGUUUCCAUUUUAUUACUUUGUACUUCUACUCCAAUAUUGUACUUUUUACUACCACUACAUUUAUCUGACAGCUAUACAGUUACUUUAAAUAUUAAUAUUUUACACACAAUACAUGUGAUUAACUUCUAAAAUAUGAUGCAUUACUAUAUACUGAACUACCCAACAGUAUAUAAAAAUUAGAUUGAAAGUUCAUUCUUGAUUUUGGAAACAGCAGUUGACAAAACAAUCUCACCACUUGGGAGAAGUCCGAACAUCUACUUUUCCAUGACAAUUGGGCAACGGCAUCUGCUGAGGAUGACCAUGUGAUACGAUCGAAAGCUCCAGAACAGCUACUGAGGGAUCUUGUGGUAAGAGUGUUUUGUUAACAGUUUAUAAACUAGUUAAAACUAGCUCCAACUUAGCCAGCUAAAACAUUAAAAUGCUGCUCACACAUUAAUGCAUCAGUAAUUAUAAUAUAAUAUGAUAUAACACUGACAGGAGCCAUUUUGUUACUUUAAGUACAUUUUGCUGAUAAUACUUUAGUACUUCUACUUGAGUACAAUUAUGAAUGCAGGACUUUUACUUGUAAUGGAGUAUUUUUAUAGUGUGGUAUUGCUACUUUUACUGAAGUUAAAGAUCUCAAUACUUCUUCCACCACUACCUUCUGUUCAAAUAGAUUUUUAAUCAAUUCCAACUCUUCAUUUCGUUAGUAUUUAAACAUUGAAUAAACAGAAUUUCAAUUUUUAACACAUUGUAGGUACAGUAUAUGGGUUUUCUUAUGACAAAUCUUCAUCAUGAACCACACAGCAGCUGCAAUGUGACAUAUGUGUCACAAAUAUUAUUUAUCAGCAGUGCCUGAAUAAUCUUGCUGUGUAAUGGCCCUUUGACGAGGAUAUGCUGUUUGUGAGUCUAGUUUAGUUCAUUUGAACUGUUAACUUCUGCCCCACUGUCAAGUCAUUCAGCUUUGUAGGCAAACAGAUAUCCGCUGAGGAGCUGUUGAACGGCUGCUGUCAUGUUUACAUUCACCAAGUGAUUCUGCCAACAGAAGGUUGUGACCGUUGAGCAAUUAAUGCCAUGUGUCUGACACAAAGUUAUGUGUGUUGUAUGAGCUAUACCGCAAGUUACAUUGCUAAGAGGAAGGUUUGUCAGCUUGUCUCAGUAGUUGAGUCUAGAGGAAUAAAAAGGCUGUUUUGGUAAAUUGUACCAGACAUAGGUCAGAAAUCCAAAUCUUUGACACACUUGCCUGUACUCAUCAUGUUUAAACUGGCAGCUGUAAUCUGCUGGUGAGUACAAGAAAUCUUCACCCUUUCAGUAUACAUGACACAGAAAUUCUUUUAAAUUCGUAAUGCUACAGUAGCUAGAGACAUAACGUCAGCACAGUUUUGAAGCAAACUGAACCGUGAUUUGCAGUUUGUUUGGACAAAGAAGCAUAUUAUAACCCGAUCUAGGCCAAAAAGAAGCUUAUUGCAGGCAGCUGCCACAGAAUGCAUUUGUAACAUAAAUGUCCUGGUUUUGGAAAAUUUGUUGAGCUUAUACUGUAGAGGGUAAACAAAUCCUUUCAGAAAAUGUUGCUAUUGUACUCAAAAACAGUGCAAAAGUUGGUAAUCUGAGGUGAGGUGAGACAGAUAUCUGGUCAUGGAUGAAAGAAGUUGCUACUCAAUGCAAUCGUCACUGGUUUUGAAAAUCAGGGGAAUGUGAUAACCAAAAUGCCCAACCAUUUUCUGGCUCAGCACAAUGAAUACAGUCAAAAUAACAUACUGUAGACACUGUAGUUUAAAGAAUAAAGCUCAUAAAGACCAAAACCAACAAUAUGUUGGUCCAUCUAUCAGUACUUUCUGACUAAAUCUUUGAAAACAGGUCAUGACUAUAUAAUUUCAUGUUUAAAAAAGGCUCAGUAAUUUCCUAAAACAGCUAGGCACUGUAGUUUUGUACACAAACUAGGAGUAAAUAGUUUUCAGUGGCAGAUGAAUAAACAUUUGAUGCUUUAUUCAGUAUUUACAGCAGCAGGAAGGUGUAUGUGGCAUUAAUUUAAAAUAAACUACAGUGCCUGUGUUCAUCAUAAUGAAGGAACAUGUAAUCCAGUGCAAAAGUAUGGCUCAUUAAUGUGUUUUUAAUAGUUUUUGGACAAAAAUUGAGGUCCACAGUUCCAUUAGAAUAAUAAUAAGGAACCAGAUAUUUCAGGCUUUAGAUACACAGAAAAUACUUGUUAGUAGAAUCAAGUCAUUGUUAGUUUUAGCCUUUUCAAGACAAUAAGAAAAACAAAGAAUAUAACCAGACAUCACCAGGCGAGAUCAGUGCUAAUCAUUACAGCUAUAACGGUUUCUUGGAGUUCAAUGACGCCUCAGAUGGUAUAUGAAAAUCUGCGAUAAAUAUUCAGUAGCUGUCAUAUUUGAAUUAAUGCCAAAAUCAUCAGAUUUUUGUGUGUGACUCAUGUCUUGUUGAUAGAGAUGUUGUCAUGAUGGAGGACACUGUUUCUACCAAUUGAGGGACCCUGUUGAAGGCGAUCAUUAUGUUGAAUGUGUGAAUGUAAUUACUAUAAUGGUAGUUUUAUAUAUAAGAUUUAAAAUACCUAAUAAAAACAAAUUUAAAUACAA